rnacentral:rRNA from 1 species
UACGAAGGGGGCUAGCGUUGUUCGGAAUUACUGGGCGUAAAGGGCGCGUAGGCGGUUUCGCAAGUCAAGGGUGAAAUCCCGGAGCUUAACUCCGGAAUUGCUUUUGAUACUGUGAGGCUAGAGUGUAUUAGAGGAUGGCGGAAUUCCUAGUGUAGUGGUGAAAUACGUAGAUAUUAGGAAGAACACCGGUGGCGAAGGCGGCCAUCUGGGAUACAACUGACGCUGAGGCGCGAAAGCGUGGGGAUCAAACAGG